UCCGGAUGUCGAGUCACCAUUACUAGAUGGUUAUAUCGAUUGAUUCAGAAAGGUGUUCCUAUGCUACUAGCUUAGGUUCAAACCUAUGGGAUCACUCUCAAAAGAAGUUUAUGAUUGAUCAUGUGGCUGAUCAAUGAUUGAGAAUCAUUCAAGGGCUUAAUCGUCAAUUCGAUUGAUGGUUAACCUUAUGUAAAAGUUGCAAUUAAUUAAUUUACAAAGUGUUAGU
rnacentral:lncRNA from 1 species